GGGAUUGCCUCAGUAACGGCGAGUGAAGCGGCAACAGCUCAAAUUUGAAAUCUGGCCUCUUUGGGGUCCGAGUUGUAAUUUGUAGAGGAUGUUUCGGGUACCGCCUCGGUUUAAAUUUCUUGGAACAGAAUGUCAGAGAGGGUGAGAAUCCCGUCUUGGACCGGCGGUGGGCCCAUGUGAAACUCCUUCGACGAGUCGAGUUGUUUGGGAAUGCAGCUCAAAAUGGGUGGUAAAUUUCAUCUAAAGCUAAAUAUUGGCCAGAGACCGAUAGCGCACAAGUAGAGUGAUCGAAAGAUGAAAAGCACUUUGAAAAGAGAGUUAAACAGUAUGUGAAAUUGUUGAAAGGGAAGCGCUUACAACCAGACUUGAGCGCGGCGGUUCCCCCUUCCUUUUGGUUGGGUUACUCCGUCGUGUCCAGGCCAACAUCGGUUCUGGGGGUCGGUCAAAGGCUUUGGGAAUGUAUCUACCCUUCGGGCGUAGACUUAUAGCCCAGAGUGUCAUGCGGCCUCCCGGGACCGAGGAACGCGCUUCGGCUCGGAUGUUGGCGUAAUGGUUGUCAGCGACCCGUCUUGAAACACGGACCAAGGAGUCUAACAUCUAUGCGAGUGUUUGGGUGUCAAACCCGUAACGCGAAAUGAAAGUGAACGGAGGUAGGAAGCCGCAAGGCUGCACUAUCGACCGAUCCUGAUGUCUUCGGAUGGAUUUGAGUAAGAGCAUAGCUGUUGGGACCCGAAAGAUGGUGAACUAUGCCUGAAUAGGGUAAAGCCAGAGGAAACUCUGGUGGAGGCUCGCAGCGGUUCUGACGUGCAAAUCGAUCGUCAAAUUUAGGUAUAGGGGCGAAAGACUAA
rnacentral:rRNA from 1 species